GACCGGGGAGUAACACCGGGGAAACCGGGUAGCUAAUACCGGAUGCCCUCAUCAGACCGCAUGAUCUGGUGAGGAAAAUGGAUUCCGCUUCGGGAUGGUCUCGCGGCCUAUCAGCUUGUUGGUGGGGUAACGGCCUACCAAGGCAACGACGGGUAGCUGGUCUGAGAGGAUGUCCAGCCACACUGGGACUGAGACACGGCCCAG
rnacentral:rRNA from 1 species